AGAGUUUGAUCCUGGCUCAGAACGAACGCUGGCGGCAGGCCUAACACAUGCAAGUCGAGCGGAAACGAUGGAGCUUGCUCCAGGCGUCGAGCGGCGGACGGGUGAGUAAUGCAUAGGAAUCUGCCCGGUAGUGGGGGAUAACCUGGGGAAACCCAGGCUAAUACCGCAUACGUCCUACGGGAGAAAGCAGGGGAUCUUCGGACCUUGCGCUAUCGGAUGAGCCUAUGUCGGAUUAGCUUGUUGGUGAGGUAAUGGCUCACCAAGGCGACGAUCCGUAGCUGGUCUGAGAGGAUGAUCAGCCACAUCGGGACUGAGACACGGCCCGAACUCCUACGGGAGGCAGCAGUGGGGAAUAUUGGACAAUGGGCGAAAGCCUGAUCCAGCCAUGCCGCGUGUGUGAAGAAGGCUUUCGGGUUGUAAAGCACUUUCAGUGAGGAAGAAGGCCUUGGGGCUAAUACCCCCGAGGAAGGACAUCACUCACAGAAGAAGCACCGGCUAACUCCGUGCCAGCAGCCGCGGUAAUACGGAGGGUGCGAGCGUUAAUCGGAAUUACUGGGCGUAAAGCGCGCGUAGGCGGCGUGAUAAGCCGGUUGUGAAAGCCCCGGGCUCAACCUGGGAACGGCAUCCGGAACUGUCAGGCUAGAGUGCAGGAGAGGAAGGUAGAAUUCCCGGUGUAGCGGUGAAAUGCGUAGAGAUCGGGAGGAAUACCAGUGGCGAAGGCGGCCUUCUGGACUGACACUGACGCUGAGGUGCGAAAGCGUGGGUAGCAAACAGGAUUAGAUACCCUGGUAGUCCACGCCGUAAACGAUGUCGACUAGCCGUUGGGGUCCUAGAGACCUUUGUGGCGCAGUUAACGCGAUAAGUCGACCGCCUGGGGAGUACGGCCGCAAGGUUAAAACUCAAAUGAAUUGACGGGGGCCCGCACAAGCGGUGGAGCAUGUGGUUUAAUUCGAUGCAACGCGAAGAACCUUACCUACCCUUGACAUCGUGCGAACUUUCCAGAGAUGGAUUGGUGCCUUCGGGAGCGCACAGACAGGUGCUGCAUGGCUGUCGUCAGCUCGUGUUGUGAAAUGUUGGGUUAAGUCCCGUAACGAGCGCAACCCUUGUCCCUAUUUGCCAGCGAUUCGGUCGGGAACUCUAGGGAGACUGCCGGUGACAAACCGGAGGAAGGUGGGGACGACGUCA
rnacentral:rRNA from 1 species